AUUGAACGCUGGCGGCAUGCUUUACACAUGCAAGUCGAACGGUAACAGGUUAAGCUGACGAGUGGCGAACGGGUGAGUAAUGCAUCGGAACGUGCCCGGUCGUGGGGGAUAACGCAGCGAAAGUUGCGCUAAUACCGCAUACGAUCUGAGGAUGAAAGCGGGGGACAGUAAGGCCUCGCGCGAUCGGAGCGGCCGAUGUCAGAUUAGGUAGUUGGUGAGGUAAAGGCUCACCAAGCCAACGAUCUGUAGCUGGUCUGAGAGGACGACCAGCCACACUGGGACUGAGACACGGCCCAGACUCCUACGGGAGGCAGCAGUGGGGAAUUUUGGACAAUGGGCGAAAGCCUGAUCCAGCAAUGCCGCGUGCAGGAAGAAGGCCUUCGGGUUGUAAACUGCUUUUGUACGGAGCGAAAAGGUCUCCUCUAAUACAGGGGGCUCAUGACGGUACCGUAAGAAUAAGCACCGGCUAACUACGUGCCAGCCGCCGCGGUAA
rnacentral:rRNA from 1 species